rnacentral:tRNA from 1 species
CCCACGACCGCGCGGUUAAGAGCCGCGCGCUCUACCGACUGAGCUAGGAAAUUCGA